GACGAACGCUGGCGGCGUGCUUAACACAUGCAAGUCGAACGGAAAGGCCCUGCUUUUGUGGUGUGCUCGAGUGGCGAACGGGUGAGUAACACGUGAGUAACCUGCCCUUGACUUUGGGAUAACUUCAGGAAACUGGGGCUAAUACCGGAUAGGAGCUCCUGCUGCAUGGUGGGGGUUGGAAAGUUUCGGCGGUUGGGGAUGGACUCGCGGCUUAUCAGCUUGUUGGUGGGGUAGUGGCUUACCAAGGCUUUGACGGGUAGCCGGCCUGGGAGGGUGAACGGCCGCCUGGGGACUGAGGUACGGCCCAGACUGCUACGGGAGGCAGCCGUGGGGAACCUUGCACAAUCCGCGGGAGCCUGAUCCAGCAGCGCCGCGCCCGGGAUGACGGCUUUCGGGUUGUAAAACGCUUUCGCCUGUGACGCAGCGUGAGUGACGGUAAUGGGUAAAGAAGCACCGGCUAACUCCGUG
rnacentral:rRNA from 1 species